AAACAAUUUGGGAAGAGAAACUGUAAUCGUGCUUGGAGACUGGAGGAAGGGAGACAAGGGUGGGAUGACUGAGAAACGUGGAGCAGAACACCCUCCUGGCCUCCUCCUACUGAAGUUGGCCUCCCUUUCCUGUUUCUCUGGGACCAUAUGGCGAAAUGACUUGCAGUGCCUGCUGUGGGAAGCCUGCUUAUGACCACCAAUAUCUGCAGUUUCCUCUUCCUCUUGGCACUGACCCAGACCAUCUCUCAGCCUCCCUUGCAAUUAGGUGUGACCACUGACUGAGUUCUGGCCCAUGGGACCUGAGGGGACGUCAUAUAUCUGGCUUCGACAUCCUCCCUGCUCACUCCCCUGACCCUGCAUUAACCUUUGUUGCAAAUGAAAAAUAAAGCUUUGCUGACAUUGUGCCACUGAGAUUUUGGGAUUUUUGUCAGAGCCAUUAGCCAAGCCUGACUAAUACACUGGUAGAUACUGAGCUCUCAGUUAAUGUCAUCUGCUGUUCUGGCCCAACCUCUCUGCGCCUGUGUUCUUGUCUAUAAAAUGGUGAUAAAAGGACCUAGCCCAUAGGGCGGCAAGGAGCAAAAGAAGUGAUGGGGAGUUUGUCUCACCAGCUUAGCUUCUCUUCAACCACAGUUAUUUUAUCUAAAUACUACCAGCUGGGUCAUCAUUACCUUUUCUCAUACGCACGAUUAUCCAUAAUAAAGCCUCUUGUAGGUUUUAAAAGGAUAACAGGUGAAUUUGCAGUGUUGUAGGCCUGAAGCCAGUAAUGAUGUAUACUUUAAUUCUGAAUUCUUCCUAAAAUCCAUUUGACUUGAUAUUUUUAAAAUCUAAAUAUAGAGUAGGAUGUUUAUAAUUUAGAAGUUAGCUGAUUUAUUUAUUUAUUUUGAGACAGAGUCUCACUUUGUUGCUCAGG